CCUACGGGUGACAGCAGUGGGGAAUAUUGGACAAUGGGGGGAACCCUGAUCCAGCGACGCCGCGUGAGUGAAGAAGGAUUUCUGUAUGUAAAGCUCUAUCAGCAGGGAAGAAAGACAUGACGGUACCUGACUAAGACGCCCCGGCUAACUACGUGCCAGCAGCCGCGGUAAUACGGAGGGGGCAAGCGUUAUCCGGAUUUACUGGGUGUAAAGGGAGCGUAGACGGCGAUGCAAGUCUGAAGUGAAAGGCGGGGGCCCAACCUCCGGACUGCUUUGGAAACUGUAUGGCUGGAGUGCAGGAGAGGUAAGUGGAAUGCCUAGUGUAGCGGUGAAAUGCGUAGAUAUUAGGAGGAACACCAGUGGCGAAGGCGGCUUACUGGACUGUAACUGACGUUGAGGCUCGAAAGCGUGGGGAGCAAACAGGAUUAGAUACCCCAGUAGUC
rnacentral:rRNA from 1 species